AGAGCGAACGCUGGCGGCAGGCCUAACACAUGCAAGUCGAACGAACUCUUCGGAGUUAGUGGCGCACGGGUGCGUAACGCGUGGGAAUCUGCCCCUUGGUUCGGAAUAACAGUUGGAAACGACUGCUAAUACCGGAUGAUGACGAAAGUCCAAAGAUUUAUCGCCCAGGGAUGAGCCCGCGUAGGAUUAGCUAGUUGGUGAGGUAAAGGCUCACCAAGGCAACGAUCCUUAGCUGGUCUGAGAGGAUGAUCAGCCACACUGGGACUGAGACACGGCCCAGACUCCGUACGGGAGGCAGCAGUAGGGAAUAUUGGACAAUGGGACAAAGCCUGAUCCAGCAA
rnacentral:rRNA from 1 species